GGGCCUGACACAGUUUCGAUUGCGGGCGGAUGGCGGAGUAAGCAUACCGAAGGCUCGGCUUCGUAAAAACGGAACUUAAAUUUAAACGCAGAAUCAAAAGAUUCCAAAGUUGUUGCUUUCCCUGUAAACAGGGUUGCAAUGGCUUGCGCUGCUUAACUUAAUGCAGCCCGCCAAAUGCGCACCUCCGCCGGGCGCACGCGGUGUUAUUCAGGCGGAUAAAGGCUUGUACGGCGUUGCCGCGUCGAACUUGUCGUAAAUUUUCAGGCAUGCGGCCGCACCUCCCCGUUUACCGGGCGGCGCGGAGUAAGUUUAAAGGUAAAAUAAGUAUGUAGAAAGCCCGCCUGAACCCCGUAAGACCAGAGUGCAACUCUCUGCAGGUCCACCA
rnacentral:tmRNA from 1 species